rnacentral:rRNA from 1 species
GCAAGUCUAGGGAAAGCUUGACUUCGGUCGAGUGGAUACUGGCGGCCGGGUGAGUAACACGUAGAUAAUCUGCCACAAUCACAGGUAUAACGUUUGGAAACGAACGCUAAUCCCUGAUGAGGUGUUUACAUCAAAGUUUCGACGGAUUGGGAUGAGUCUGCGUUUGAUUAGCUAGUUGGAGAGGUAAUGGCUCCCCAAGGCGACGAUCGAUAGCGGGUUUGAGAGGAUGAUC